CCGAGCGUUAUCCGGAUUUAUUGGGUUUAAAGGGUGCGUANGCGGCCUGUUAAGUCAGGGGUGAAAGACGGUAGCUCAACUAUCGCAGUGCCCUUGAUACUGAUGGGCUUGAAUGUACUAGAGGUAGGCGGAAUGUGACAAGUAGCGGUGAAAUGCAUAGAUAUGUCACAGAACACCAAUUGCGAAGGCAGCUUACUAUGGUAUGAUUGACGCUGAGGCACGAAAGCGUGGGGAUCAAACAGGAUUAGAUACCCUGGUAGUCCACGCCCUAAACGAUGAACACUCGAUGUUGGCGAUAUACGGUCAGCGUCUAAGCGAAAGCGUUAAGUGUUCCACCUGGGGAGUACGCCCGCAAGGGUUGAAACUCAAAGGAAUUGAACGGGGGCCCGCACAAGCGGAAGAGCAUGUGGUUUAAUUCGAUGAUACGCGAAGAACCUUACCCGGGCUUGAAAUUAAUUGAAUAAACNAAAACCUCUAUCCUUCGGGACACGAAACUAGUUCUGCAUGCUGUCGUCACUCCUGCGUGAGUGUUGGUUNAUCCCCCAACAACCCACCCUAUUUUAUUCCACAUUUAGGUUGGGACUCUAACGACGC
rnacentral:rRNA from 1 species